GGGAGCUGCUUACCGUUGGGGGCGGCGGGAGUUCUUCUGUAACCGCACACAUCCCUCGGAGCCUCCAGCCCAACCAACAGGGCAGGCGUUGGAGGCUUGAGGGACUGUGUGGGGGGACAUUCCAGGGGCUCCCGCCAUCGCAAACAGAGUCAAACUCCAUCCAGGGCUUGGUCCAAGUGUUGGUUAAGAUCGAGGCCAGUGACUCUCUGACUGCUAAGUGAUCUCAGGCAGGAUACUGAAUCUCUCUGAGCCUUUGUCUUUGCCCUGUCCUCUCUCUCUAGAGUGUUGGAUUAAAGCAGGAAGGGAGCCCAAACCAGGUGCUGGUCAGAGCCCGGAGCAGACACAAGAUGGAGACACGUUUGGGCUUCUUGAAGGUGCAUCAUUAUUAGGAAGGCAGCUGGGCCCCUGACCCCCACAUGAAGAGACCCCAGAAGGACUGUAGGAGGACUGCUCUCUGUCCAUGACCCUCCAGGAGUCUCCAGAGUCCAAUCACUGGCAGCGUGGCUGUGCCUGAGCCCUGCCACCCCGCUCUGUUCCUCAUUCGGCCAGCCAGGUGGACACACAGAAAAACAGCUCCUAUGGUUGUAAUGUAAUUGGGUGCACACAUAAAUUUCGCCAACAAUUGGUGGCAGAAACAGUC